CAACACUGCAUCUCAAUGUUGUACAUUGCAUUCUGGAUGCUUUUUUUUUAUUGACAGCAAAAGAAACAGUGUCUUCAUCUACCCUUGUGGUGCUGGAUUGGGUUACCACCUCUCUCCUUUCCUUUCCUUUUUCUGACAAGAUUUUUGACAGCUCCAUGGGAGGCAGUAGAGUUGCAGAAGCUGGAUGCCUAUGGUUGUUAGA
rnacentral:lncRNA from 1 species